rnacentral:rRNA from 1 species
CAUUAUAGAAUUGGUUGCUUGCAACCUUCACUAUAACAUACUGUUCACGUUCCUGUUGCUUCCCUAGCGUUAGGAGGCUUUCCCUCACGGGACUGUUUCUGCUAGGGAACUUUGUCAAACAUAUUGUGUAUUUAUUCUGAAUCAACCAUGAAAAUGGAUAUUAAAACUUUUAACAACGGAUCUCUAGGCUCUUGCAUCGAUGAAGAACGCAGCGAAAUGCGAUACGUAGUGUGAAUUGCAGACUCCAGUGAAUCAUCGAAUCUUUGAACGCACAUUGCGCCCACUGGUAUUCCGGUGGGCAUGCCUGUCUGAGCGUCAGUAUAAUCUCAAGCAACCGCUUGGUAUUGGAGGAUGAUCUGCCUAGCAGUUCACUUCUUAAACUGAUUGGCAAGUUUACAUAGCAGCAAGCGUAGUAGAAAUACCAUCAGCUUAGUUACUCUGUAUAGCUUUGUCAAAAUCAAACUAUUUUUAAGGUUUGACCUCAGAUCAGGUAAGGAUACCC